rnacentral:tRNA from 1 species
GGGGUUGUGGCUCAGUGGUAGAGUACUUGCCUAGCAUGUAUGAAACACUUGAGUUUGAUUCUCAGCAUCACAU